AUAGACGGUUUGGCCAAGUGGUCUAAGGCAUCAGAUUUAGGCUCCGGUUUGAAAGGGCGUGGGUUCAAAUCUCACAGCCGUCAU
rnacentral:tRNA from 1 species